rnacentral:rRNA from 1 species
CGGGGAGGAGCCCAGAGCCUGAAUCAGUGUGUGUGUUAGUGGAAGCGUCUGGAAAGGCGCGCGAUACAGGGUGACAGCCCCGUACACAAAAAUGCACAUACUGUGAGCUCGAUGAGUAGGGCGGGACACGUGGUAUCCUGUCUGAAUAUGGGGGGACCAUCCUCCAAGGCUAAAUACUCCUGACUGACCGAUAGUGAACCAGUACCGUGAGGGAAAGGCGAAAAGAACCCCGGCGAGGGGAGUGAAAAAGAACCUGAAACCGUGUACGUACAAGCAGUGGGAGCCUCUUAAUGGGGUGACUGCGUACCUUUUGUAUAAUGGGUCAGCGACUUAUAUUCUGUAGCAAGGUUAACCGAAUAGGGGAGCCGAAGGGAAACCGAGUCUUAACUGGGCGUUAAGUUGCAGGGUAUAGACCCGAAACCCGGUGAUCUAGCCAUGGGCAGGUUGAAGGUUGGGUAACACUAACUGGAGGACCGAACCGACUAAUGUUGAAAAAUUAGCGGAUGACUUGUGGCUGGGGGUGAAAGGCCAAUCAAACCGGGAGAUAGCUGGUUCUCCCCGAAAGCUAUUUAGGUAGCGCCUCGUGAAUUCAUCUCCGGGGGUAGAGCACUGUUUCGGCAAGGGGGUCAUCCCGACUUACCAACCCGAUGCAAACUGCGAAUACCGGAGAAUGUUAUCACGGGAGACACACGGCGGGUGCUAACGUCCGUCGUGAAGAGGGAAACAACCCAGACCGCCAGCUAAGGUCCCAAAGUCAUGGUUAAGUGGGAAACGAUGUGGGAAGGCCCAGACAGCCAGGAUGUUGGCUUAGAAGCAGCCAUCAUUUAAAGAAAGCGUAAUAGCUCACUGGUCGAGUCGGCCUGCGCGGAAGAUGUAACGGGGCUAAACCAUGCACCGAAGCUGCGGCAGCGACACUAUGUGUUGUUGGGUAGGGGAGCG